rnacentral:rRNA from 1 species
UACGUAGGGUGCGAGCGUUGUCCGGAAUCACUGGGCGUAAAGGGCGCGUAGGCGGCCUGAUAAGUCGGGGGUGAAAUCCUGUGGCUUAACCACAGGGCUGCCUCCGAGACUGUCGGGCUCGAGCACAGUAGAGGCAGGUGGAAUUCCCGGUGUAGCGGUGGAAUGCGUAGAGAUCGGGAAGAACAUCGGUGGCGAAGGCGGCCUGCUGGGCUGUUGCUGACGCUGAGGCGCGACAGCGUGGGGAGCAAACAGG